AGUGAACGCUGGCGGUAGGCCUAACACAUGCAAGUCGAGCGGCAGCACAGUAAGAGCUUGCUCUUACGGGUGGCGAGUGGCGGACGGGUGAGGAAUACAUCGGAAUCUACUUUUUCGUGGGGGAUAACGUAGGGAAACUUACGCUAAUACCGCAUACGACCUACGGGUGAAAGCAGGGGAUCUUCGGACCUUGCGCGAUUGAAUGAGCCGAUGUCGGAUUAGCUAGUUGGCGGGGUAAAGGCCCACCAAGGCGACGAUCCGUAGCUGGUCUGAGAGGAUGAUCAGCAAACCGGAACUUAGGACCCGGUCCAGACUCCUACGGGAGGCAGCGUGGGGGAUUAUGGGACAAUGGGCGCAACCUUGUCCCAGCCAUACCGCUGGGGUGAAGAAGGCCUCCGGUUUGUAAAGCCUUUUUGUUGGAAAAAAAAAGCAGCAGGUUAAUACCCCGCUGUUCUGACGUUACCCAAAGAAUAAACACCGCCUACCUUCUG
rnacentral:rRNA from 1 species